rnacentral:rRNA from 1 species
UACGGAGGGGGCUAGCGUUGUUCGGAAUUACUGGGCGUAAAGCGAGUGUAGGCGGUCUGAUAAGUCGGGUGUGAAAGCCCUGGGCUCAACCCAGGAAGUGCACUCGAAACUGCCAGGCUAGAGUAUCGGAGAGGUUGGUGGAAUUCUCGGUGUAGAGGUGAAAUUCGUAGAUAUCGAGAGGAACACCGGUGGCGAAGGCGGCCAACUGGACGAUUACUGACGCUGAGACUCGAAAGCGUGGGGAGCAAACAGG